UACGUAGGGGGCAAGCGUUGUCCGGAUUUAUUGGGCGUAAAGAGCGUGUAGGCGGCCGUACAGGUCAGCUGUGAAAACUCGAGGCUCAACCUCGAGACGCCGGUGGAAACCGUCUGGCUAGAGUCCGGAAGAGGAGAGUGGAAUUCCUGGUGUAGCGGUGAAAUGCGCAGAUAUCAGGAAGAACACCCGUGGCUAAGGCGGCUCUCUAGUACGGUACUGACGCUGAGACGCGAAAGCGUGGGGAGCGAACAGG
rnacentral:rRNA from 1 species